UGGGGAAUUUUGCGCAAUGGGGGAAACCCGUACGACGCAGCGACGCCGCCGUGGAGGAAGAAGGCUUUCGGUUGUAACUCCUUCUGUGGGGAAAGGAACGGAUGGUACCCACCGAAUAAGCCCCGGCCUAACUACGUGCCAGCAGCCGCCGGUAAGACGUAGGGGGCGAAGCGUUGCUCGGAAUCACUGGGCUUAAAGAGCGCGUAGGCGGUUGUGCAAGUCCAGGGUUGAAGACCUGGGCUCAACCGAGGGAAGGCCUUGGAGACCGCACGACUUGAGUAAGCGAGGGGAGGGCGGAAUUCCCGGCGUAGCGGUGAAAUGCGUAGAUAUCGGGAGGAAGGCCUGUGGCGAAGGCGGCCCUCUGGCGCUUGACUGACGCUGAGGCGCGAAAGCGUGGGGAGCAAACA
rnacentral:rRNA from 1 species